UACCACCCUCACACCUGCCAUAGCCAGAUCAAUACAGAGUUAUACUUGCUAAGAGUUGCAAACAGCUGCUGUUGACAACCAUUCGACAACAGGGGCCAUUCAAUGCACACACAGAGCAGAUUUCAGUGCCCUGAUUUGAAUGAGACACAGAAAUAUGAACAGAAGAGGACCUUAAUAGAAAAAUAAGUUAAAAAUGAUGCACCGUAUAACACAAUGAUAGGAUCUGGCCGAACCCCGAAUCCUUUGCAAAAGAUUCAUCCGAAUACCGAACUGAAGGAAGGGCUAAAGAGCACUUUGGGCAUGGUGAAACAUUUUCAACUUCCGUGUUUGAGAAAAAGUCACAUGAUUUUAUGGAUUCUGAAUCAGU